rnacentral:rRNA from 1 species
GAUGAACGCUGGCGGCGUGCUUAACACAUGCAAGUCGAACGGAAAGGCCCAUGUUUGCUUGUGUUCUCGUGUCGCACGCGUGUGAAUCACACGUGUGAGAUGUGCCCUGCAUUUGGGGAUAAGCCUGGGACACUGGGUCUAAUCGCGUAUAGGCCCCCUCUGUAGUUGUUGUGGUGGAAAGUUUUGGCGGUUGGGGAUGAGCUCGCGGCUUAUCAGCUUGUUGGUGGGGUAGUGGCUUACCAAGGCGUUGACGGGUAGCCGGCCUGAGAGGGUGACCGGCUACAUUGGGACUGAGAUACGGCCCAGACUCCUACGGGAGGCAGCAGUGGGGAAUAUUGAACAAUGGGUGGAAGCCUGAUGCAGCAACGCCGUGUGCGGGAUGACGGACUUCGGGUUGUAAACCGCUUUCGCUCAUGACGAAGCUUUGUGUGACGGUAGUGGGUAAAGAAGCACCGGCUAACUACGUG